AAUUGAAUGUUUAUAUAUUUUCAAUCAAAAAUAUAUUCUCAAUAACUAUAAACGAAAAAUUUGAGAUUGAUUUCCAUCUAAACUUUGAUAAAACACAACUUAAUAUAAUAUAUAACUUCAUCUAUGCUUUAUGCUUUGGAACGUAAUAUUUUCCCUAAAAUAAAAUAAAAUAUGUAUAUAUAUAAUAAUAAAAUAUGGCAUAAUUAUACAGGAUAUCUUCAAUCCAACUCGGUGACUGAGGCCACAAAUUUGGCGGAUGCUGCUAUCCAUAAACUUGAACGCUGAGCCCGGGCAACUCGGCACAGUGUAAGCUAGUUUGUUUAUUAUUUUGUGUGUCAGUUUGACUUUUGUAACUAAAAAUUCGUAUGGCAACAAACGGCAAGAAGAGCUCAACAACUCAUAAAAAUACAAACAGGAACUAUGAAGUGCCGGGCUGCAGGGGAAGAUCACACACAGGACUGGCAGGAUGGUUAUGGUUAUGGUCCCACUUAGACACUGAUUUAUGGCACGGAUUGGGAAAGAGGAUUUCGGAAUCAGACAAAACAGUUUAAUUGGACGGCAUUUGGUGGACUUUUGUGGAAUUUGUUGUUAAGUGCUUGACAAAAUACUCCCAAGAUAGAAAAGUCCCAUGCUCCAUAAGUUUAUGACGCUAUUAAAUUAAUUGAAAAAAUUGCUUGGAAGUAGCAAAUAUGAAGAAAUCUCAAGGCCAGUAUAAUAAGUCAAAGGAAAUAUAUUAACUCUUUAAUAUGCCUGCUCUCCUAAAUAAGAUAAAGCUUUAAAACUGGACAUAAAACUAAACUUACAACUGUAAGAUUGUGAUUAAGUAAUAAAGUUAAGCGAUAUGAAUAAUUAGGAUGAGAAAUUCUUCAAUAUUUCAAAAGGAAUACUCAAAAGGUUAGCUUUAAACAUCUUCGGGCCAGCUUAAAUUUGAUUUAUUCCAUUUUGGUGCUUGUAUAAUCUGGGAUUUAUUUACGGCAGAGCCUUCGCUCAUAAACUUUAAGACCAUCAAGACACGCAAAUGCUUCAAA